rfam:Schistosoma haematobium scaffold326_4, whole genome shotgun sequence.
AGCCUUCUGCAUCCGUUCUGAGAUUUCGUCAAACAUCAGACCACAAGGGCCGAUUAGACUUACAUGAUAAAUGAAGCG